GGAAAGGCGCGCGAUACAGGGUGACAGCCCCGUACACAAAAAUGCACAUGCUGUGAGCUCGAUGAGUAGGGCGGGACACGUGGUAUCCUGUCUGAAUAUGGGGGGACCAUCCUCCAAGGCUAAAUACUCCUGACUGACCGAUAGUGAACCAGUACCGUGAGGGAAAGGCGAAAAGAACCCCGGCGAGGGGAGUGAAAAAGAACCUGAAACCGUGUACGUACAAGCAGUGGGAGCACGCUUAGGCGUGUGACUGCGUACCUUUUGUAUAAUGGGUCAGCGACUUAUAUUCUGUAGCAAGGUUAACCGAAUAGGGGAGCCGAAGGGAAACCGAGUCUUAACUGGGCGUUAAGUUGCAGGGUAUAGACCCGAAACCCGGUGAUCUAGCCAUGGGCAGGUUGAAGGUUGGGUAACACUAACUGGAGGACCGAACCGACUAAUGUUGAAAAAUUAGCGGAUGACUUGUGGCUGGGGGUGAAAGGCCAAUCAAACCGGGAGAUAGCUGGUUCUCCCCGAAAGCUAUUUAGGUAGCGCCUCGUGAAUUCAUCUCCGGGGGUAGAGCACUGUUUCGGCAAGGGGGUCAUCCCGACUUACCAACCCGAUGCAAACUGCGAAUACCGGAGAAUGUUAUCACGGGAGACACACGGCGGGUGCUAACGUCCGUCGUGAAGAGGGAAACAACCCAGACCGCCAGCUAAGGUCCCAAAGUCAUGGUUAAGUGGGAAACGAUGUGGGAAGGCCCAGACAGCCAGGAUGUUGGCUUAGAAGCAGCCAUCAUUUAAAGAAAGCGUAAUAGCUCACUGGUCGAGUCGGCCUGCGCGGAAGAUGUAACGGGGCUAAACCAUGCACCGAAGCUGCGGCAGCGACGCUGAUGCGUUGUUGGGUAGGGGAGCGUUCUGUAAGCCUGCGAAGGUGUGCUGUGAGGCAUGCUGGAGGUAUCAGAAGUGCGAAUGCUGACAUAAGUAACGAUAAAGCGGGUGAAAAGCCCGCUCGCCGGAAGACCAAGGGUUCCUGUCCAACGUUAAUCGGGGCAGGGUGAGUCGACCCCUAAGGCGAGGCCGAAAGGCGUAGUCGAUGGGAAACAGG
rnacentral:rRNA from 1 species